rnacentral:sRNA from 1 species
UCUCUGUCUCCCUCCUCUGCUCUGCCUUCUUCAAACAGGCAGCCUGUCACUGCGCAGAAAUGCUUAAAAACAAACAAACAAACAAAACCCAAGCCAGAGGAAGCCACCUUCAACCCAGGUCUGGCAGACAAGGGAUUGUUUCAGCACCCACCUGGCUUUUAUUGGGGAAAAAUAAAAUACUUAUUACGGGGAAUAAGGUUGGCCUUCGGAUAAAGAAUGGAACUGUGGCUCAGAGCGUGGCUGGGCCCUGGGGAUGAGGCCGUGAAUUCCCACAAGGGAGACACAAGUGAUUUAUGUUUCAUGCGCACAGCUCGGGGACUAAUGGAGACUGGGAUCUAUAAUUAGGCAGCCACUGCAAUUACUUCAAAUUCCUACCCUUUCUUACCCCCUCCACAGGCUUGUCUUCCCAAUAAGCAAUUGCCUGAACCCUGGAGGCACGAGGUUAGAGAGGGAAGGAAGGGCUUAGAAGUUACAUGCCCGCCUAUGAAGGUCCCUGCCUCUGCCUAGGAAAACAUCUCCUCUCUCCUGGGGAUGGGAAGGGAAGGAAAAAACCCAGUGUGAAUAAUUACAAACACUUGUCUGUCAUUCUUUCCUAAGCUUUUUGAUUGACGUUCGCGCGUUUUGAUCCUUGCAACGACUUCUGCUUGGUCCAUAGGAUUCCACCCACAAAGGAGGAACUGAGGCCCGGAGCCCAUCCCCAAGAAUACAUGGCUAGAGAGGAACAAUUUUGAUUUCAUCCAUAUCUAUCAAGAUUGUCUGAAUUCAGAAGAUCAAGCAAAGAGAAGUCAUCAAAUAAAUAAGGAGCUUGCUGCAUAAUCACGAGGACCUGUAUCCAGAUCCCUAGCAUGAGCUCGUACGCAAAAGGCUGGGGCCAGUGAGAUGGAUCAGUGGGUAAAGGUGUCUGUCACCUAGCCUGACAACCUGUUCAGUCCCCAGAAAGGAGAAAAGCCUAUUCCUGCCAGCCCUUCCGACUUCCACACACAGUUACCUGUUUGCCUUCCCUGCUUUCUACACACCCAUAAAAAGACGCUAAUGAGCAUGCCCAGGGGAACACUGGGAACCAGAGUGCUAAAGACGAUGAAGAAGGCCGGCUCUGAGAAAUUUCUGGAAUGAGCAUCGGGGAUUUCAGAUGCUCCAGAGACCUCACCUAACAGGAGGAGGAGGACACACCCUGCAAACCUUGUCAUCUCUUGCUUGGAUGCUCUCCGGGAGGAGCUGUGCAAACCACAGGCAAGUGACAGGCAAGUAACCCCAGCAUCCAGCCUUGGGCCCCUUAGCCCUAGCCUCCAGGACCUGGAGGCGAUUUCCUGGUCAGACCUGAGGCACACAGACCCCCUUAUGAGGUUUUCCAUGCCACCUCUCUGGGCAGCUCUGGCAGGCCAGCAUGACUCCCUGGGGCUGCAUAAUUAGCAGGCCUCGAGUCACCAGGCCUGGUAUGCUGUGGUUGCCCCCAGGCCCCCUUCUCAGUGGCGCCACUUCUGCCUCACUGUGCACACACAACCCGCCCUACCCCUCCCCUCCCCCAUGCCACCUCACCAAGCUUGGGUCCCCACACUCUGCACUGCAGUUCCACACCGGGCCACCCUCAUCCUGACAUGUCUCCUCAUCUGCUGGUACAGGACAGAGUGGGCCUGCACGGUGCCUGCUGUCACCACCUCGAAGCCAAACGUUGUCUCAGCUCAUUUAGAGACUUCCCAAGAGGGGCUGGAAAGAGAGGUCUAAAGAGCACGAAGAAUCUCUGUCCAUCAAUCUGAAGUGGGCUUCUCUCCCUUAUCAACAUCCACCCUUGGAAGGUAAGGUUCGAAGAGAUCAUUCAGUCCAUGCCCCUGCCUUUGGGAUGACUGUCUGACUCCAGAGGGCUGACACACAACCUCCCCUGAACUAAAGUACUACUGGGAGCCGAACCCGGAGAAGUUGACAGUGUGAGCUUUCACUGUAACAGGACCCACACAGUCAAGCAUUCUCCUCCUGUCUCCUCUCGGCCUCGGGGCUGCUCCUCUCAGGCCAGGCUGACACCUUCCUUUCAGCCAAACCCACACGAUGCCUUCUUUGAGCCAGCCUGCCAAGAGCCAGAGACAUACACACACCCGUUGCUGGGAUUUCCAUUUUAAGGACCAGGCGUGAGGCAAACACUCCCUUUGUGCUCCAGAGCUGCACGUUCAGCUUCGCCGAGGGGAGGGAUUUUUUUUUCUCUUCAAGCAUAAUAAAAAAGUUCUAUGACUUUAAUUAAAUGCACUUAUUAAAAAAAGGGGGGGGUGAAACAUUUGGAGCGGCUGUUUCUGUGCUGGAGGCGUAUUGACUCUCCAGCAUGUUGGGGUGUCUGCAUCCGCCUGCUCUAGGACAUUUUUAAUGCAAAAAUAAAUCCGCACCUGACGUGCUGACAGAUUAUUAUGCAGUGUGGCAGCCAACAAAAGUAAACACAGGGGCAAGUUUUAACCUCUUGCAGGCCCAUCGUUUCCCCAUCGUUGGGUCCAGCUCAGGUGCGCAUACGGGACCAUGGCUGGCAAAGCCUUUUCUUACCACUUGGGCAUCCUCCUGUCCUAGAGCCCGUGCCUGGAAAUAGGAGGCUAUGAUUCCACCAGGCAGGCUGGGGAGGAGGGAGGGGC